AACGAACGCUGGCGGCAGACCUAACACAUGCAAGUCGAGCGAGAUCUUCGGGUCUAGCGGCGGACGGGUGAGUAACGCGUGGGAAUAUGCCCUUCUCUGCGGAAUAGCCUCGGGAAACUGAGCGUAAUACCGCAUACGCCCUUUGGGGGAAAGAUUUAUCGGAGAAGGAUUAGCCCGCGUUGGAUUAGGUAGUUGGUGGGGUAACGGCCUACCAAGCCGACGAUCCAUAGCUGGUUUGAGAGGAUGAUCAGCCACACUGGGACUGAGACACGGCCCAGACUCCUACGGGAGGCAGCAGUGGGGAAUCUUAGACAAUGGGGGCAACCCUGAUCUAGCCAUGCCGCGUGAGUGAUGAAGGCCUUAGGGUUGUAAAGCUCUUUCAGCUGGGAAGAUAAUGACGGUACCAGCAGAAGAAGCCCCGGCUAACUCCGUG
rnacentral:rRNA from 1 species